GGGUGAGUAACGCGUGGGUAAUCUGCCUUCGAACCGGGGAUAACACUUCGAAAGGGGUGCUAAUACCGGAUGACAUCCAGGUGUCUUCGGGCGCCUGGAUCAAAGAUGGCCUCUCCAUGGAAGCUGUUGUUCGAAGAUGAGCCCGCGUCCCAUUAGCUUGUUGGUGGGGUAAAGGCCCACCAAGGCGACGAUGGGUAGCUGGUCUGAGAGGAUGAUCAGCCACACUGGCACUGACACACGGGCCAGACUCCUACGGGAGGCAGCAGUGAGGAAUUUUGCGCAAUGGGGGUAACCCUGACGCAGCAACGCCGCGUGAGUGAAGAAGGCCUUCGGGUCGUAAAGCUCUGUCGAGUGGGAAGAACCCGCAUCAGGUGACAAGGCUGAUGCGCUGACGGUACCACUGGAGGAAGCACCGGCUAACUCCGUGCCAGCAGCCGCGGUAAUACGGAGGGUGCAAGCGUUAUUCGGAAUUACUGGGCGUAAAGGGCGCGCAGGCGGCCUGGUAAGUCAGUAGUGAAAGCCCGGGGCUCAACCCCGGAAGUGCUGCUGAAACUGUUGGGCUUGAGUAUGGUAGAGGGAAGCGGAAUUCCUGGUGUAGCGGUGAAAUGCGUAGAUAUCAGGAGGAACACCGGUGGCGAAGGCGGCUUCCUGGACCAAUACUGACGCUGAGGCGCGAAGGCGUGGGUAGCAAACAGGAUUAGAUACCCUGGUAGUCCACGCAGUAAACGGUGAUCACUAGGUGUUGCGGGUAUUGAUACUUGCAGUGCCGGAGCUAACGCAUUAAGUGAUCCGCCUGGGGAGUGCGGCCGCAAGGUUAAUACUCAAAGGAAUUGACGGGGGCCCGCACAAGCGGUGGAGCAUGUGGUUUAUUUCGACGCAACGCGAAGAACCUUGCCUGGGUUUGACAUCUGGGGGAUCCCAUGGAAACAUGGGGGUGUCCUUCGGGGAGCCCCAAGACAGGUGCUGCAUGGCUGUCGUCAGCUCGUGUCGUGAGAUGUUGGUUUAAGUCCCGCAACGAGCGCAACCCCUGUCUUCAGUUACCAGCGAUUCGGUCGGGGACUCUGAAGAUACUGCCCCGGUUAACGGGGAGGAAGGUGGGGAUGACGUCAAGUCCUCAUGGCCUUUAUGCCCAGGGCUACACUCGUGCUACAAUGGGC
rnacentral:rRNA from 1 species